GGCGCCGGUGGCGGGGGGUGGCUGGACCGGGGCCGUCCGCGCUUAUGGAGGACGAGGACUGCCCAGACCUGGUCCCGAUCGGCGCCGGCGGCGCGGAGCUGACCGAUGCCGGCCCCGACAGGAAAAUCCCCGUGACGAUCAUCACGGGGUACUUGGGUGCUGGAAAAACAACUCUUCUAAAUUACAUACUGACAGAACAGCAUAAUAAAAGAAUAGCAGUUAUUCUGAAUGAAUUUGGAGAAGGAAGUGCCUUGGAGAAAUCUCUGGCAAUCAGUCAGGGUGGAGAACUCUAUGAAGAAUGGCUGGAGCUCAGAAAUGGCUGCUUGUGCUGUUCAGUAAAGGACAAUGGUGUGAAAGCAAUUGAGAACCUGAUGCAAAGGAGAGGAAAAUUUGACUAUAUAUUGUUAGAAACAACUGGUUUGGCAGAUCCAGGAGCUGUGGCGUCCAUGUUUUGGGUUGAUUCUGAGCUGGGAAGUGACAUCUAUCUUGAUGGUAUUGUGUCUGUUGUUGAUGCAAAGCAUGGAUUGCAGCACUUGACAGAGGAGAAACCAGAAGGCCUUAUUAAUGAAGCAUCUCGGCAGGUUGCAUUAGCUGAUCUUAUAAUCAUCAAUAAAACAGAUUUGGUUUCAGAAGAAGAAUUGAAUAAAGUCAGAACGUCUGUGAGGUCAAUAAAUGGACUUGUUAAAAUUCUAGAAACACAAAGAUCAAGAGUUGAUCUCUCUAAUGUCUUGGACCUACAUGCUUUUGACAGUUUAUCUGGAGUAAGUUUGCAGAAAAAGCUUGAGCAUGUAAAGGCAACACAUGCACAUCUAGAUAAGGCUAUAAUUACAGUAACAUUUGAAGUUCCAGGAAAUAUAAAAGAAGAAAACUUAAAUCUCUUUAUUCAGAAUCUUCUAUGGGAGAAGAAUGUGAAAGAUAAGACUGGAUGCACCAUGGAUGUCAUAAGACUGAAGGCAAAUCUCAUCAAGUGAUAGUCCAAGGUGUCCAUGAGCUCUAUGACCUAGAAGAGACUUCAGUAGCCUGGAAAGAAGGUGAAAAGAGAACAAACAGGCUGGUCCUAAUUGGCAGGAACCUGGAUAAGGAGAUCAUCAAAGAAGUAUUCAUAGCCACUGUGAGAGAAGAACGAGGAAACAGUUGACAUAAAACUUUAAAAAAGAUUAAAUGUCUGUUUUAAUCCUGCAAGGAUUUUAUAGCAGAAAAGACUGAAUGGCAUGGACUAUAGUAGAUUCUAUAUCCUCUUGCAGUUUAUGCAACAGUUGAACCCUGAAGUCUUCCUAAGAAUUCCAGCUGACCUACUGCUUUAAGAUUAGCUCUUAUGGUCUAGAAUCAAACACAAUUCUCCUAUUUUGGAUUUGGCUGAAGCUGUGUCAGCAACAUCAUGUAACUGUGCAGAAAUGGAGACAGGCAAAAGGCUGUUAUGUUCCCUGUGAAGCGUUACUGUAGGGGUAUGGGAAACAUGUUUGAAGCUUAGUGCUUUCUCUUGCUAACUCUCUUCCACUGGGAAUGAAGCAAUAGUGAUUAUUGCCAGUGAUAUAAUCACAGUACAAAAUGUUUAGUGUUUACUAUUAAACUGUCUUCCAUCUCUUUCCACUUGCUUUGUGAUUUUUGAGUGUAUGCACCCAUCCCAGGUACUGUUCUAGCUGUAAACCUGUUGUGUAAUGAAACUAAAAAUACACAGGUAGCAGAGGCACAAGAUCACAUGGAGUAAAUACUGUCUACACAAAAGCUGUGCAUGCAGUGUUUGGUCACAUAGUCAGCAGUUUGAAAGAGGUAGCUGAACUCUUCAGUCUUCUAGGCCAUCACCCUGCCAGUUCAGGAUUUAGGGAACUGGGGACUGCACCUUUCCACUGUGUUCAGGCUGCUCUACAUGAUUUCUAAUGAGGUUCUGUGACACUACUUUGAAAACCUAGUCUGAAGCUUUUAUCUCCCUGCUCAUUACAAUUUAGAGUUCAACUUCUUGUCCUGUACAUUCUCCCGUAUUCUUUGUUCACCUCUUAUCUUUAGAGGGAUAUUUUGACUUUCACAUGUGUGAAAGCAAAAUGAGUCAAUGCAGGAAAAUAAUGUAGAAUUAAAAAUGUUUGCAAACAAAAUUCUAGGACAUGCAGUUCUGAAGGAUGGACUUUUAGCUAUAGUGCUUGCUGUGGAUGCUUGGUGAUGUGUCUGAAUAAGCAGAAACUUGUUUUCACUACUAGGGUGGUAUUACUUGUCUCACACCUAGCAUUAAAAAGAAAAG